GGUUAAAAUACGGCUGACAGACCUGCCCAGCUACCGCAAGUACCUGGGUGAUCUGUUGCUGGCAC
rnacentral:tRNA from 1 species